UACGUAGGGUGCGAGCGUUGUCCGGAAUUAUUGGGCGUAAAGAGCUUGUAGGCGGUUUGUCGCGUCUGCUGUGAAAAUCCGGGGCUCAACCCCGGACUUGCAGUGGGUACGGGCAGACUAGAGUGUGGUAGGGGAGACUGGAAUUCCUGGUGUAGCGGUGAAAUGCGCAGAUAUCAGGAGGAACACCGAUGGCGAAGGCGGGUCUCUGGGCCGUAACUGACGCUGAGGAGCGAAAGCUAGGGGAGCAAACAGG
rnacentral:rRNA from 1 species